rnacentral:tRNA from 1 species
GGAGUGUAUUUCAAUGGUAGAAUGUUGGUCUCCAAAACCAAUGAUGUAGGUUCGAUUCCUACCACU